rnacentral:misc_RNA from 1 species
UUUCCGUAGGUGAACCUGCGGAAGGAUCAUUAUCGUACAAAAUGUGUGAGGCAUGCAAGGGUUGUCGCUGGCUUUCAAUGUUGUUGCACGCCGGAGCGUGUCCUCUCACAUAACACAAUCCAUCUCACCCUUUGUGCACCACCGCGUGGGCACCCUUUGGGAUCGGACCGAUCUCUUAGGGGACUCGCGUUUUCACACGACACCCUUUUGAAAAGUGUAGAAUGACCUCAUUUAUGCGAUCAAUACAACUUUCAACAACGGAUCUCUUGGCUCUC